AUGAAGAACAUUAUUUAGGUGACACUCCAGAGAUGAAGUGUUCUCCAGGCUUCGUGACUGUGGUACUCUUAAUGCUUGAACAAACCCAUGGAGACUCAGUGACCCAAACGGAGGGCCAAGUGACCCUCUCAGAAAAGGCUUCCCUGACGGUGAACUGUACUUUUUCAACGACAUGGUCCCCCACUCUUUUUUGGUAUGUCCAGUAUCCAGGGGAAGGUCCAGAACUCCUCCUGAAAGCCUCGAGGGACAAGGAGACGAAACACAACAAAGGUUUUGAAGCCACCCUCGACAGCAAAUCCAAAUCCUUCCACUUGGAGAAAGGCUAGUGCAAGCGUCAGAUUCAGCUGUGUACUACU